GACGAACGCUGGCGGCGUGCCUAACACAUGCAAGCCGAGCGGGGGGAGUACUUCGGUACAAACCUAGCGGCGGACGGGUGAGUAACACGUGGGUAACCUGCCUCAAAGUGGGGGAUAGCCUUCCGAAAGGAAGAUUAAUACCGCAUAACCCAUAGCUUCCGCAUGGAAGCAAUGGUAAAGAUGUUAUCGCUUUGAGAUGGACCCGCGGCGCAUUAGCUAGUUGGUGAGGUAACGGCUCACCAAGGCCACGAUGCGUAGCCGACCUGAGAGGGGGAUCGGCCACAUUGGAACUGAGACGCGGUCCAGACUCCUACGGGGGGCAGCAGUGGGGAAUAUUGCACAAUGGGCGAAAGCCUGAUGCAGCAACGCCGCGUGAGUGAUGAAGGCCUUCGAGUUGUAAAGCUCUGUCUUUUGGGACGAUAAUGACGGUACCAAAGGAGGAAGCCACGGCUAACUACGUGCCAGCCGCCGCCGUAACAC
rnacentral:rRNA from 1 species